ensembl:snRNA U6 U6 spliceosomal RNA
GUGCUUGCAUUAGCAGCACCCAUACUAAAAAAGGAACAAUACAGAGAAGAUCCUGCACAAGGAUGACAUGCAAAUUCAUGAAGCAUUCCAUAUUUUA